rnacentral:rRNA from 1 species
CCUACGGGUGGCUGCAGUGGGGAAUAUUGGACAAUGGGCGAAAGCCUGAUCCAGCCAUGCCGCGUGUGUGAAGAAGGCCUUCGGGUUGUAAAGCACUUUCAGUGGGGAAGAAAGCCUUGGGGCUAAUACCCUCGAGGAAGGACAUCACCCACAGAAGAAGCACCGGCUAACUCCGUGCCAGCAGCCGCGGUAAUACGGAGGGUGCGAGCGUUAAUCGGAAUUACUGGGCGUAAAGCGCGCGUAGGCGGUCUGAUAAGCCGGUUGUGAAAGCCCCGGGCUCAACCUGGGAACGGCAUCCGGAACUGUCAGGCUAGAGUGCAGGAGAGGAAGGUGGAAUUCCCGGUGUAGCGGUGAAAUGCGUAGAGAUCGGGAGGAAUACCAGUGGCGAAGGCGGCCUUCUGGACUGACACUGACGCUGAGGUGCGAAAGCGUGGGUAGCAAACAGGAUUAGAUACCCCGGUAGUC